rnacentral:tRNA from 1 species
GGCUGAAUAGCUCAGUGGUAAGAGCAGUCACUCGGCAAGUGAAAGACUCGGGUUCGAUUCCCGAUUCAGCGA